rnacentral:rRNA from 1 species
GAUGAACGCUGGCGGCGUGCCUAAUACAUGCAAGUCGAGCGAACAGACGAGGAGCUUGCUCCUCUGACGUUAGCGGCGGACGGGUGAGUAACACGUGGAUAACCUACCUAUAAGACUGGGAUAACUUCGGGAAACCGGAGCUAAUACCGGAUAAUAUAUUGAACCGCAUGGUUCAAUAGUGAAAGACGGUUUUGCUGUCACUUAUAGAUGGAUCCCCGCCGCAUUAGCUAGUUGGUAAGGUAACGGCUUACCAAGGCGACGAUGCUUAGCCGACCUGAGAGCGUGAUCGGCCACACUGGAAUUGAGCCACGUGCCCGACGCCUACGGGAGGCGGCAGUAGGGAAUCUUCCGCAAUGCGCGAAAGCCUGACGGAGCGACGCCGCGUGAGUGAUGAAGGUCUUCGGAUCGUAAAACUCUGUUAUUAGGGAAGAACAAAUGUGUAAGUAACUAUGCACGUCUUGACGGUACCUAAUCAGAAAGCCACGGCUAACUACGUG